rnacentral:lncRNA from 1 species
CUGCUCUUUUUUGUCCAACUUCUCAUUUCCUCCUUCGAUUGCCUUCCCCUUUCCCAAUUUAAUCAACCAUCCAGUCAAUCAGAGGCUGGUUCAAUCGAUGAUUGGGCACCGCUCUAUUCCCUCUCCCAUUGUUCAAUCACUGAUUGUCGACUGCUACUAAUUUUUACUCUCGCCGGCCUAUCUCUUCUCAUUUCUACCUCCAGUAAGUCGCCCUACAGUUAUUGUUUUGUCUUGGGUCUGGGACCCUAUAUGCUCACCAUUUUCCUCUCUCUCUAUUCUCGUUUGUGAAAAACUCUGUGAAUUUUUAUGAUAUUAAUCAUUUGUUUUGAUUUUUUUUUGUAGUCACAGUGAGAAGCGUAUUUAUAUUCAAUG